UAUUAUUAUUAUUAUUUCUUACUGCCUUGUGAAAACAAAGCAAGAAGUAUGCAGCCUGCAACUCAGAAGAGAAGAAUUCUGGCCCUCCCCAGAAUUUGACCUGCUGACCCUCUGAUCUUGGACCACCAGCCACCAGAUCUGUGAGAAAUAGAUUUCUGUUGUUUAUAAGCUACCCCCUGUGAAUGACUUAUCUCUGCAUUUACUAGGUCUUAUGAAAUGUCUUUGGAAACAGUUAAAGAAUUGUUCGUAAGGACCUCUCACUUUUUCACUGGCUUUACAUUUAUGUAUAUUUAUGUUUAGUAUUUAUAUAUUGCAUACUUUUGCUCUUAUAUUUAUAAAGUUUAUUUUUAUUGUUAAUAGACAAUUUCUGUACUGCUUUUAUAUCUGGACCUUUAUAUCUGACACUUUCAGAGAGGCUUAUGCCCGUACACAUGCAAUCCACGUAACUCUGGGCCCUUGGCCACUGGCUCAAUGGAGAGGUCUUGGCCACCCCAUCAUUGCUUCAUUUCUCUAUAUAAUUUGCUAUUGUGGCCUUCUGCAAGGUGAAUGCUGGCCUGUGAUACAGACUCAUUUCAAUCAUCGUGGGAGGAACUGGAAAAAGGUCCAGUCCACAGGCUCAACUUAACUGGACUUGCUGAAGUUUCCUCUACCACUUCUGGACUCCAGUGAAUCACAGGUGUGGGGGAUCUGGCUUUCCCAGAAUCUUCUAUGGAGAGCGCAGUAACGUAAGCCAGAAAUGUGGGCAAUGUAAUAUCCCCAUGGGACAAAUUUUUACCAAGAGGUAGAAAGCAGGAUAGAUGACCUAUAUGUCUGCUUCUCUUUGCAGAUAUAUUGCUGCAAAAUGAAGAGGUCCUGUGAGUUCUGAACAGACAUAUCAAAUAUGGCUAAGUAACCAUCUAUGUCAACGUGUGGAGCUGUGGUCAGCUUGGUAAGACACUUUCUGGUUUUGCUUUCCUUAUUAAAUUCUUUCUCUACCUUAUGUAAUCCCCCACCCCCCACCCCCCACCGUUACCUCUUCUGCUCUG
rnacentral:lncRNA from 1 species